UACGGAGGAGGCAAGCGUUAUCCGGAAUUAUUGGGCGUAAAGCGUCCGCAGGUGGCUAUUCAAGUCUGCGGUCAGAGACUGGGGCUUAACCCUGGAAAGGCCGUGGAAACUGAAGAGCUAGAGUGCAGUAGGGGUAGAGGGAAUUCCCGGUGUAGCGGUGAAAUGCGUAGAGCUCGGGAAGAACAUCGGUGGCGAAAGCGCUCUGCUGGACUGCAACUGACACUCAGGGACGAAAGCUAGGGGAGCGAAUGGG
rnacentral:rRNA from 1 species